rnacentral:rRNA from 1 species
GACGAACGCUGGCGGCGUGCUUAACACAUGCAAGUCGAACGGAAAGGCCCUGCUUGCAGGGUACUCGAGUGGCGAACGGGUGAGUAACACGUGGGUGAUCUGCCCUGCACUUCGGGAUAAGCCUGGGAAACUGGGUCUAAUACCGGAUAGGAGCCAUUUUUAGUGUGAUGGUUGGAAAGUUUUUUCGGUGUAGGAUGAGCUCGCGGCCUAUCAGCUUGUUGGUGGGGUAAUGGCCUACCAAGGCGGCGACGGGUAGCCGGCCUGAGAGGGUGGACGGCCACAUUGGGACUGAGAUACGGCCCAGACUCCUACGGGAGGCAGCAGUGGGGAAUAUUGCACAAUGGGCGCAAGCCUGAUGCAGCGACGCCGCGUGGGGGAUGACGGCCUUCGGGUUGUAAACUCCUUUCGCUAGGGACGAAGCUUUUUGUGACGGUACCUAGAUAAGAAGCACCGGCUAACUACGUA